ACACAAGUUAGAGAGAUAGCUCUGGGUGGAUAAUUAAAGAGUGAGAGGUUCUUUUCACUGGGGGUAGGAGUGAGUGGAAAAGGAGAAGCAGAAUGACAGAGUUAAUGGCAUAAAAGGGUCUGGAGAGCAAACACUGCGGCUCCGCUUUAGGUGAAAUCAGUGCUUAGGCCUGUUCCCUAGGAUACCGUGUCCCUAAACUGUGCUCACUCAUGGACCAAUUUAGCAAUAGUCUCAGGUUUUCAGUUCCUGCAAAACAAAAAAUCUCAUAGAUUCCCAGACCCACAAGGGCCAGCAGAGGGUACGGAGUCGGCAGAAGUGUGUAAUAUAAGACAGUGUUUGCUGGUAGCCUGGGAUAAGCCCAGAUAUUAGCCCUGCCUGUCAACUCAGAAACUACUUGUCUGAACACAAUAAGAAGGAGUGAUUUACUGUACAUCGAUGGUAUCACCAACCCAAUGAAGGGAUCACCACGUUGAUUUGGAGUCACUCUCUCCAUGCCAGCAAAACUUUCAUCUGCAGGCUUUCUAAACACAGGAGGGGAAAAAAAAAAAAAAAAAAGGAGAAAUAAAAAGAGAAAUACAGUACUAGGCGUUGGUGCCAACAGCUGACGCUUGGGGCUGGGCUUGGGACGUGGCUGGUAGGCGACAUCUACGUGUGCACAGACAAUGACGCAAGGAGGAAGGAGACUGCGACAACGGCAGGAUGUUGUGUUGGUGAAGAAGGGGAGGAAACCCCGUUCUCCCCCUUCUUUUUGCUUUUCUGCCGUUCUCGCCAACUUCUCAGCACGUCAGUCCUAAAUUUCAAUGAGAAAGAAACUCCUGGCAGGAGCUGGUAGGAAACUGUUGACCUUCGCGAGCUGCUGACAGGCUCUAGCGUAUUUCCAGGUUACCCAUAAUGGUGUGGGGCUUGGUGUGAAGGAUUUGCCUUCUGCCAUGAAAGCAAGACAUUGACACUGGUCAGACAUGGGCUGACGUGCCUGAAUCUCUUGGGGCCAGAGAGCUGUGCAAGAAAACCCCAAAAUGAGUAGAAUGACAGUCCUUGCACUCCCCUGCUUCAAGGCACAAAAACUAUGGAGGCUCCACUCUUUCCUUCCCCAGGCAGAAGAAUUCCACAGUCAUGAUGUCUUCGGUGCAGGAGCUGAGGUCAUGGGUGUGAUUCAGCGGCUACGAAUUUUGCAGAGCAGAGCAGGACUCUCAAAAAAUUAAACCAACAACUGGGUAGAAGCCUAUAGCAAUUGGAAAACCACACGUUUCUCUGCCUGACCUGCUGGCAGGAGGACUUCAGUGUGGGAGAACCAAGGCUGAGCAAAGACACGAUGCAAUGGGCAGGCAGUCGUGGCAAGUGUGGAUGUUUCAACCAGAGCAUGAAGUUCACCUAGGGGUCAUUGCAGCUGUCAGCUGCUUCUGAGGCUUGAUCUAAAACCCACUGACCUCAAUACAAAGCCUGCCAUUGCUUUUUUUCCAUUUGGCAGGCUCUGAAUUAGUCCCUCGGUGCUAAAGUUUUGAAAUGAUUAAAAAAAAAUUAACAGUUUCACCUGUGGUUUGCCCUGCUUUUGUAACCUGAAAGCACUGAGACUAGCUGUGUGUUUCCGCCUUGCAUAGUGGUUUCAAAUCCCAGUUCAGGCAUCUUUGUGCCCUAUUACAUAAAUGAAUUUCAACAAUAAGGCAAUAAAGUAUCUAGUAGAUUUUUAUAUUCUCCAAACUCAGCCUCUUGGGUAGAAAAAAAUCACAUGAAGCCAUCCAUUUCACAGUGGCACUGAUGAGCCCAAGUGGCAGCUCAAGACGUCCAUGACCUUUCAGUUUUUCAAUUUAAAGAUUUUCAGACUUAAUCCUAAUCUGGACAUGAUAACCGUGCUCCUCGUACGAUCCUUCUCUUUGCAGAAAGAUGUCUUAGUCUAAGUCAGAAACAGAAUUUUUACCCAUAACUGGAUGAAACAUUAAUUAAUUCAAACAUAUUUGGAGUAAUUUUUAUCUGAUUUAUGGUCAAAUAAUUUGGUUUUGCCAUUGGAGGCUACAACCUGAGUUCAGAUCCGACAAGAAUUAAAUCUUUUGAACAGUUCUUACCAACUGGCUCUUGAUAGUAAAAACUCCAUGUGAACAGCUCUUCAACAUUUCAGAGUGAAAUGACCUGAGAACUUUCAGAAACUUUAGAUGAUCUGGCCUGGAUCUUAUAAAAGAGCUGUUAGUAUGAAAUAUGUGCCUCCUAAAAAUUGUCUGGUCAAAAAGUGUCCGUGGAAAAAAAAAAAAACAAAAAAAAAAGAAAGAAAAAUAAGUAAAGAAGUUUUAUUCAAUAGAGUCUCUACUCACAAAUGUUUAUGUGUGACAAAUGUUACAUAAAGAGAAGACUUCUCUGGAACACACAGGUUUUCCUACCAGCCUUGGCUCAGAUUCUAUAUAAAUUAUGCUGCUAAAAAAUUGCAGUCAUCUUCACCAUAAAUUAAACUAGAUCAUGUUAUUAAUAUAUGAAUGGUGGGAUAAUGAGCCUACAAUUAGGUGUACAGGGAUCCCUCCCUAAAAGUGAUGUCUAGUUGGAGGAAUUUCUUGUUAUAGAAAUGAAAUAAUCACCUUGUUUGCUACAAAUUGAAGCAGAAUCUAUGUCUGUAUUGAUUAGGAAUAGACACUUGCCUUUUGCUGCCCUGACGAGUCAAAACCUAUAUUGUAAACUUAAAAAAUCAUUAUUCUCACAAUUUUGUGUCCAUCAGCAACUAUUCAUUUUUUCUCCAGUGCAGGCUGACUCUGAGUCUGAUUUCUAUCCAGGCAGGUUAGAAGCAUUUUUCCCAUUCCCAGAGAAAUUUCUGAGAAUACAAAAAAUGCUACUUUUUUUUUAAUAGGGAGACAACACUUGAAAUCUUAAAAUUGUUUCAUUUUCCUUCAUGGAAACUCAAGAGAUAACAACCAAAGUGGUUAAUUAUUUUCCAGAACUAUGAGAGAUACGCAGCUUUAAAGUGUUCUUCAGCCACCAUUGAGGUCUCCAAGUCUGUCACUUAUUCCAGGAUCUACUCAUUAUAAUGAAAGUAUUAUGUCUGCUGAAAUAUUGCACUGAAAAAUAGGUACAAUACCGUGAAGAAGGUUCUGUCUUUUUUUGGUUGCUUGGCUGUUUGGUUUUUUUUUGAGGGGGGGCAAUGCACUGUUUUCCAGCAAAGUGUCAUUCAGAGGAAGCUCAGACACUUCUAAAUGCAAUUGGACACCAACAAGGGCACUAGAAUCAGUGCCAGGUAUCUUCUGUCUUGCAGUUACCAGACACACCACAAUCAAAUUAACACACAGCCAGAAUGCAUUAGUAAACUACUUUGUGAAAAGACCAGAGUACUUGUGUUAUAAUUCGUCUUUAGAAUCACUUAAAUCCCUGACUUUGCACAAUAGCUUCAUCAACCUACUCAAUCUCAUGACCUGGCCUCCAAAGUAUUUCAUGGUGACACUUCUGACAGUCAUCUGGGGUGUCCACCACACACAUACUCACACACACAUAUGCAGAAAAACACAUUCCUGCCUACAGGCAAUGGGCUUGCAAACUAUGAAAACAAAUUGGAAGCCUGACUUAAAGCUUUACGCUCACUGAGGCUCCAUGCUAUGCAGUAAUAAUAUUUACAAGGUGCGUGGACUCCGUUGGCCCGGCUGCCUCGCUCUGUUACCCGCCGCGCUGACGUACAUUCUGCACGGUUGGACGCGUGACGUUACCCUACAGCCCAGGUCCUUGAUUUAUAGUGUCUGGUAACGUCUCCCUUGUGCUGAAAUUGAAAUGUCUGUGAUUUUUGGACACUAAAGGAACAUUGGGUUUGCUUUGACCUGUAAAUGACCAGGUGGCAAUCAAUCUUUUUUUUUUUUUUUUUAAUGAAAACCUCUUCUCAUCUCCUCCCUAUUUUUCUGCUGGUAUCUACCAUCCUCAGAGUUUUUCAGCAUUAGUUGAGCCAAAACCUCAGUUUUUCAGACACUGAAAGUGAAUUUAAAUGCUCGCUAAUGUGGCUAGAUUAGAAUCAGCAAGAGAUUAUCCACACUUGAAAAGGACCAAAAUAAAGACAAGUGGAACAGAGGACUGGAUUCACUUAAUCUGGCUUUUAUUGACUAAGGGUAGACUUGUGCACUUGUAUAGGCUAGAGUCAGUGAGGAGGAUCAAGACCUUCAGAUAGAUAUCAUACUAUGCUGAGCUAGGUAGUUAAGAGGUGGGAGAUGGAACUCAUGCUUUCAAGGUGCUUAUCUUUCUCUUUUUACCAUGGACUAAUGUAAAUAAAUCAUUGGCUUAGACCAGACAUCAGACUUAGAGAUAUCUAAACUGUGACUUUCCCACCCAAGGCUUUUCAUACCACUUAAACUUUCUAGUAACGUCCUUCAGGGUGCAUUGAAGUCCUUUGGUAUAACAUGUACAUGUACACUCCAAAUCUUCCUGAAAUGAACCUUUUUUGUAGAGGAAGAGCAUAGCUUCAUAAAGUAUGAAAUAACUAUAUCCUUAAAAGUCUGUAUGAAAAUUCAAUAAUAAAUCUUCCAUGAACUGUC